rnacentral:rRNA from 1 species
GACGAACGCUGGCGGCGUGCUUAACACAUGCAAGUCGAACGAAGUGGCGAACGGGUGAGUAAUACGUGGGUAACCUGCCCUCCUUUUUGGGAUAAGCUUUGGAAACGGGGUCUAAUACCGAAUAAAGGGGGAUGGGCUCGCGGCCUAUCAGCUUGUUGGUGGGGUGAUGGCCUACCAAGGCGGUGACGGGUAGCCGGCCUGGGAGGGUGACAGUCCACAGUUGGAUAGGGAUACGGCCCAGAGUCAUACGGGAGGCAGGAGGGGGGAAUGGAGCACAAAGGGGGAAACCCUGAUGCAGCAACGCCGCGUGGGGGAUGACGGCUUGAGGGUUAGAAAACGCUUGCAGCCAUGAGUCGGUGGUGGCAGAAGAAGCACCGGCUAACUACGUGCCAGCAGCCGCGUAAUUC